CGGCACUCCAGAUGCUUUGGACUACACUUCCCAUGAUGCUUUGCCAGCACUAUAGCUGUAAGAGCAUUAUGGGGGAUGAAGUCCAUAACAUCUGGGGUGCCG
rnacentral:miRNA from 1 species